rnacentral:rRNA from 1 species
CCUACGGGAGGCAGCAGUAGGGAAUCUUUCACAAUGGGCGAAAGCCUGAUGGAGCAACGCCGCGUGCAGGAUGAAGGCCUUCGGGUUGUAAACUGCUUUUAUAAGCGAGAAAUAUGAUGGUAACUUAUGAAUAAGGAUCGGCUAACUACGUGCCAGCAGCCGCGGUCAUACGUAGGAUCCGAGCAUUAUCCGGAGUGACUGGGUGUAAAGAGUUGCGUAGGUGGCAUAAUAAGUAGCUAGUGAAAUCUGGUGGCUCAACCAUUCAGACUAUUAGCUAAACUGUUAGGCUCGAGACCGUUAGGGGUAACUGGAAUUUCUAGUGUAGGAGUGAAAUCCGUAGAUAUUAGAAGGAACACCGAUAGCGUAGGCAGGUUGCUGGGACGGUUCUGACACUAAGGCACGAAAGCGUAGGGAGCAAACGGGAUUAGAUACCCGAGUAGUC